rnacentral:rRNA from 1 species
CAGCCGCCGCGGGAAUACGAAGGGGGCUAGCGUUACUCGGAAUUACUGGGCGUAAAGCGUGCGUAGGUGGUUGUUUAAGUCUGCUGUGAAAGCCCUGGGCUCAACCUGGGAAUUGCAGUGGAUACUGGGCAACUAGAGUAAGGUAGAGGAUAGUGGAAUUUCCGGUGUAGCAGUGAAAUGCGUAGAGAUCGGAAGGAACAUCUGUGGCGAAGGCGACUAUCUGGGCCAACACUGACACUGAGGCACGAAAGCGUGGGGAGCAAACAGGAUUAGAUACCCCCGUAGUCCCUGUCUCUUAUAC